rnacentral:rRNA from 1 species
GGCAGGCCUAACACAUGCAAGUCGAGCGGUAACAGGAGAAAGCUUGCUUUCUUGCUGACGAGCGGCGGACGGGUGAGUAAUGUAUGGGGAUCUGCCCGAUAGAGGGGGAAACUACUGGAAACGGUGGCUAAUACCGCAUAAUGUCUACGGACCAAAGCAGGGGCUCUUCGGACCUUGCACUAUCGGAUGAACCCAUAUGGGAUUAGCUAGUAGGUGGGCUAAAGGCUCACCUAGGCGACGAUCUCUAGCUGGUCUGAGAGGAUGAUCAGGCACACUGGGACUGAGACACGGCCCAGACUCCUACGGGAGGCUGCAGUGGGGAAUAUUGCACAAUGGGCGCAAGCCUGUUGCAGCCAUGCCGCGUGUAUGAAGAAGCCCUUAGGGUUGUAAAGUACUUUCAGCGGGGAGGAAGGUGAUAAGGUUAAUACCCUUGUCAAUUGACGUUACCCGCAGAAGAAGCUCCGGCUAACUCCGUGCCAGCAGCCGCGGUAAUACCGAGGGUGCAAGCGUUAAUCGGAAUUACUGGGCGUAAAGCGCACGCAGGCGGUCAAUUAAGUCAGAUGUGAAAGCCCCGAGCUUAAGUUGGGAAUUGCAUCUGAAACUGCUUGGCUAGAGUCUUGUAGAGGGGGGUAGAAUUCCAUGUGUAGCGGUGAAAUGCGUAGAGAUGUGGAGGAAUACCGGUGGCGAAGGCGGCCGCCUGGACAAAGACUGACGCUCAGGUGCGA